rnacentral:rRNA from 1 species
GUCUAUGGCCAUGCCACCCUGAACAAGCCUGAUCCCGUCUGAUCUCAGAAGCUAAGCAGGGGCGGGCCUGGUUAGUACUUGGAUGGGAGACCACCUAGGAAGACCAGGUGCUGUAGGCG